GCUUAAGUAGUUUAGUGGUAAAACUUUACUCCUUUACAGUAAAGUCAAUGGUUCCAUUCCAUUCUUAAGCA